AGAGAGGUGCCCGAGUGGUUGAAGGGGCUACCCUGGAAAGGUAGUAUAUGGGUAACUGUAUCGUGAGUUCGAAUCUCAUCCUCUCUG
rnacentral:tRNA from 1 species